rnacentral:tRNA from 3 species
UGGGCUGUCGCCAAGCGGUAAGGCAACGGGUUUUGAUCCCGUCAUUCGCAGGUUCAAAUCCUGCCAGCCCAGCCA